rnacentral:rRNA from 1 species
AUGAACGCUGGCGGCGUGCCUCAUACCUGCAAGUCGCGCGAACGGACGAGAAGCUUGCUUUUCUGAUGUUAGCGGCGGACGGGUGAGUAACACGUGGAUAACCUACCUAUAAGACUGGGAUAACUUCGGGAAACCGGAGCUAAUAUCGGAUAAUAUUUUGAACCGCAUGGUUCAAAAGUGAAAGACGGUCUUGCUGUCACUUAUAGAUGGAUCCGCGCUGCAUUAGCUAGUUGGUAAGGUAACGGCUUACCAAGGCAACGAUGCAUAGCCGACCUGAGAGGGUGAUCGGCCACACUGGAACUGAGACACGGUCCAGACUCCUACGGGAGGCAGCAGUAGGGAAUCUUCCGCAAUGGGCGAAAGCCUGACGGAGCAACGCCGCGUGAGUGAUGAAGGUCUUCGGAUCGUAAAACUCUGUUAUUAGGGAAGAACAUAUGUGUAAGUAACUGUGCACAUCUUGACGGUACCUAAUCAGAAAGCCACGGCUAACUACGUG